UACGUAGGGUGCAAGCGUUAAUCGGAAUUACUGGGCGUAAAGCGUGCGCAGGCGGUUUUGUAAGACAGGUGUGAAAUCCCCGGGCUUAACCUGGGAACUGCGCUUGUGACUGCAUAACUCGAGUGUGGCAGAGGGGGGUGGAAUUCCACGUGUAGCAGUGAAAUGCGUAGAGAUGUGGAGGAACACCGAUGGCGAAGGCAGCCCCCUGGGUCAACACUGACGCUCAUGCACGAAAGCGUGGGUAGCAAACAGG
rnacentral:rRNA from 1 species